rnacentral:rRNA from 1 species
UUGAACGCUGGCGGCAGGCCUAACACAUGCAAGUCGAGCGGAUGAAGGGAGCUUGCUCCUGGAUUCAGCGGCGGACGGGUGAGUAAUGCCUAGGAAUCUGCCUGGUAGUGGGGGAUAACGUCCGGAAACGGGCGCUAAUACCGCAUACGUCCUGAGGGAGAAAGUGGGGGAUCUUCGGACCUCACGCUAUCAGAUGAGCCUAGGUCGGAUUAGCUAGUUGGUGGGGUAAAGGCCUACCAAGGCGACGAUCCGUAACUGGUCUGAGAGGAUGAUCAGUCACACUGGAACUGAGACACGGUCCAGACUCCUACGGGAGGCAGCGGUGGGGAAUAUUGGACAAUGGGCGAAAGCCUGAUCCAGCCAUGCCGCGUGUGUGAAGAAGGUCUUCGGAUUGUAAAGCACUUUAAGUUGGGAGGAAGGGCAGUAAGUUAAUACCUUGCUGUUUUGACGUUACCAACAGAAUAAGCACCGGCUAACUUCGUG